UACGAAGGGGGCUAGCGUUGUUCGGAUUUACUGGGCGUAAAGCGCACGUAGGCGGAUUGGUCAGUUAGGGGUGAAAUCCUGGAGCUCAACUCCAGAACUGCCUUUAAUACUGCCAGUCUCGAGUCCGGAAGAGGUAAGUGGAACUCCUAGUGUAGAGGUGGAAUUCGUAGAUAUUAGGAAGAACACCGGUGGCGAAGGCGGCAUCCUGGACCAACACUGACGCUGAGGAGCGAAAGCCAGGGGAGCAAACGGGG
rnacentral:rRNA from 1 species